GUAGUGCUCAAUCUGACCAAAUUCUCAACUUGUUGACCUUAACAGGCCUGAAGCUUUGGAGAACUUAUUUGGGUACUUUCAUCAACAGUAGCUCACAGAAUGGGACUGCACUGUUGCCAGAUCCAUAAUGCUGAAGGUCUCCUUUCAGAUGACUUUCAGGCAUUGAUUCCCUGACGGUUUUUGCUCUCAGAAAUGAGAGGAGCAGAUUUUCAAGUCCAAGAACUGAAAUCCAACUCCUAAAUCAGAAGAUUCUCCGAAGGGGACAAGAAAUACAUUAACGAGUACAGAGGACAUUUUUUACUAAGAGGAAAGAGUUUUUUGAGCUGCUCUGAGAGAAGAAAUCUCUCAGGCUGAAUUCAGACAAGCUUUUAAGUACUAAUCAACUCAAAAGGUUUGAGUUCAAUGAGACAUUUCACAUGCUUAAGCUGAGACUUUUUUAAUUACCUGGUUGAGCUGAAGUCAAGGAUACUUUGCAAUCAAUAGCAUAAUGAAGAGCUUAAGAGAAGCAUAUGAAAUAUUGUCUAUUAUUUUAGGAGGAUCUUGAACAAUAGAUGCAGAAGCCAAUGUAAC
rnacentral:lncRNA from 1 species